AAGCUCCAGCGUGUGUGUGCACACGGGUGUACACCCCACGGAUGUGCAUGUGUAUGUGUGUGUAUGUAUGUGUGCAACCCGUGUGUGUGUGUGUGUGUGUGUGUGUGUGUGCGUGCGUGUUAUGUAUGUAUGUGUGCAUGUGUAUGCCCAUGUGUGCUUGUAUCAUGUGUGUAUGCCAAUAUGUAUGUUUAUGGCUGUGUGGGUGUACAUAUGGCUGUGUGUGCAUGUCCAUGUGUGUAUGUACCUGUGUAUGUGCCCAUAUUUGUGUUUCUGGUUAUGUGGGUGUGGCUCAGUAUGCAUGUAGCUGUGUGUGUAUGCUCAGGUGCAUAUUUCUGUGUGUGUAUAUGUGUGUGUGUGUGUGUGUGUGUGUGUGUGUGUGUGUGUGUGUAGGCCAGAGGACAACUUCAGGAGCCAGCCACCUUUUUUAUUUUUCAGGCAGGGUCUCUCACUGGCUUGGCAUUCUCCCAGGAGGUAGUCUGACUGACCAAUGCACCCCAGGGACCUGUCUCUGCCUCCCCAGUGUUGGAGUACAAGCACACUAUGAUACCCUAUUCGUGUGAGCUCUAGGGAUGGAACUCUGGUAUUCAUGCUUACAAGAAAGCACUUUACUGUCCCAAGUGUCCCCCAGCCUUAAAACCCCACCCUCCAACAUUUUCUCAGUUAUUGUUCCCUUAUAUUUUUUGGUAGGUCUUUUAAAGCAAAUUCCAGUUAUUGUGCAAUUUUACAUUCAGAGAAUCCAAUGCACAACUAAACACAGUAAUGGAAUAGUAUAACCCCCAAACCAUCAUGCUCAACAACAACAAAAAUUCUUCUUAAUAGUAUCUAACACUUGGGGUGUCUUCAUUUUUAUCUGAUUUCUCAAAUGUGUUUUUGCAAUGGCUCAAAGCCAAGUGCAGGCAG
rnacentral:lncRNA from 1 species